UUUCCAAUGCCAACAACACGAGCAUUAGAGCCAUCAGCAAUAGUGAUAUAAGGUGUGCUCAAAUAUGAAGUAUAGGAGGAUAGUAAGGUGGAAUCAAAUGUCAUAUGAUUAGUAGCACCAGAGUCAAGAAUCCAAGCUUUUUUGGGGAUAACACCACAAACAGUAAAGGAUCGGGAGUACACAUUCUUACCAGUAAUUGCUAGAGACCCAGAUGCAGAAGGCUUACUAAUAGAAGCAAGAAUAGACUGUAAACGUUCAACGUCAUCCUGACUGAAAGAGGACAAGUUCGUUUCUCC
rnacentral:lncRNA from 1 species